GCAGUCACCAGUCACAGUUAGUCGUUGAGCCCAAGCGCGAUCGUGUUGUGAUAGUUGGGUUGCAGUUAUUAGCGCGGUUACACACCACGGUUGGGUGGGGCUUGUUUUGGUUCAUCGCUGUUCACUUUAACCUGCCUGUGGUCUGGCGAUCUUACCCGACGACAUGGAAAACGUUCAACUAAAUUUCACAGUGGGGUCAUGAGAUUCAAUGCUUCUUUGUACUUACAGCGUUGUCCGAUCAUCUCAAGGAGCUUGCCGGGAUGCUGCCUUCUGUUCCUUACUUACUUCCUGAAACUACUCAUCUGUUGUCCCUCCAUGUGAAGGAGAUCUUCAGAGAUCUUCAAUCAGUGACCUGGAAGCUAGCAGCUAUUCUUCUUGCUGUAUCAGCUAUUCUUCCUUCAUUAUUUCCUGAGUGAACUGGGUAUGGGUGGAUGGGCCGGCAGGAACGCAUGCUGCAAAGAGCUGUGCACAAUCAACAUGGCAAGAAAACUAAGCAAACAAACAUGUUUAACUUUUUCUAUUAGGUUAAAUUUGUACUGUUUUAAUAUUUGUUGAAUUUUUCAUUGUACUAUUUAAUUUGAUAAUAAGAAAACCAUCUUGCACCAAUUGUUUCAGAUAAUCAACGUACUGCUGUAAACAGUCCUUUUACCUCUAAUCAAAAAGAUCAAUAGAACAUAGAUUUAAGCAGUAUUCCAUAUUAAAUAUUUAGUAUAGAGAAGUAAGAAAAUAACAUUUAUUUCUUACACAAUUAACCACAAUCAAUAAGAAAGAGAGGAUUUUAGUUUUAAAAUUUACUACAUUUGUUAACAAUGUAUAAUUUUAUUUAGACAAUAAUAAGGCCAAUUAAAUAAAUAAAACCUAAAAUGAGACCAAAUAACAUGUCUUGUUUUUGUUCUUGUCAAAUGAGUGACAGUUUUAAAAGGCUUCAACUUUAGAAGUCCAUUUAUAAUAUUUUUAAACACUACCUGAAACUGACCAGUGGAAUCAAAUGAA